AUUGAACGCUGGCGGCAGGCCUAACACAUGCAAGUCGAACGGUAACAGGAAGCAGCUUGCUGCUUCGCUGACGAGUGGCGGACGGGUGAGUAAUGUCUGGGAAGCUGCCUGAUGGAGGGGGAUAACUACUGGAAACGGUAGCUAAUACCGCAUAAUGUCGCAAGACCAAAGAGGGGGACCUUCGGGCCUCUUGCCAUCGGAUGUGCCCAGAUGGGAUUAGCUUGUUGGUGGGGUAACGGCUCACCAAGGCGACGAUCCCUAGCUGGUCUGAGGGGAUGACCAACCACACUGGGACUGAGACACGGUCCAGACUCCUACGGGAGGCAGCAGUGGGGAAUAUUGCACAAUGGGCGCAAGCCUGAUGCAGCCAUGCCGCGUGUAUGAAGAAGGCCUUCGGGUUGUAAAGUACUUUCAGCGGGGAGGAAGGGAGUAAAGUUAAUACCUUUGCUCAUUGACGUUACCCGCAGAAGAAGCACCGGCUAACUCCGUG
rnacentral:rRNA from 1 species